UACAGCAUUACCCCAAGGUCUACAACCUUAACUUAAUACAUAUCGUCAAUAACUUAAAAGGUUUACAAUGUCAUUUACAUCAGAUAACUUAAUAGUUAUAAAUGCAUAAUAAUCUAUUCUUCGAACUUGCCUUUGCCACUGUCGUUCUUCGAGCCUUUAUCAUAAUCUGAAAUUGGUUAUCAUAAUAUAGCAAGGGUGAGCAACUACUUUGCCCAACAAGUUUAAAUACAAUAAAGAUAUAUCAUGAUUGAAAGAAAGAAUAAGCUUUCAAAUUUUUAACAAUAUAAUAAUUGUGAAAGAGCAUGAAUCAGAAUUUCAAUAAUUGACUGAACCAAUAAUGUUGAGUGGUCAACAAUGACCAUGAACAAUUUAAUUGAACCUUAUGGUAAUGAAUGUGAUCAGCCUUUCAUACCAGAUGAACAUAUGUAACAUGCACUAAGUGAGAAUCAAUUAUUGUAGAUGUGGAAUAAUCAACAAUAAUUAUCCACUAACAUUCUUUGAAAUAAUAACUCGAGUUUGAGUUAGGAAACUUGCCUGUACCAUCGAUUACUACUACGCAAUCUAAUUUAAUCUCUUUAUUGUAAAGACAUAUCAUUGUUAAGAUUGAUUUUUCAAUCAACAUAUCAUAUUAUACCUCAUAAUACUACUGCUCUAUAAGUAAAUUAUCUAACAUUUAACCACAUAAUCAUAUAUUUGUUACUACCUUAAAACAUCAGUAUUAUUAUCGUCCUUUGAUAAUUUUUCAAUUACUUUAUCAUAUACAUUAUGAUUUAACACUUACUCUUUCAUUUUAUAAGCUCUUUUUAUAAUUCAGUAAGCCAUAUACUAAUACAGCAACCCAAAUACCAAUUCAGCAAACCGAAUACACUAAUUCAGCAAACCAAAUACACUUAUUCAGUAGGCCGAAUACAAACUAACAUAAUUAAUUAUGUACGCCGAAUAUAUCAAUCCAGGAACCUAGAUUCAAAAUGUAUUUCCUUUUUAAUAUAUUGAAUUUUUAAUUCAUCAUACUAUUCAAUAUAGCUUAUUGAAUGUCCAAUCAAUAACUUAACUCCUCUUUUAAACUCUCAUUUAACAUUAUUAAUUAUUUAAUAACAUUAAAAUUAUUUACUAAUAUUAUUAAUCAUUAAAUAAUAUUUUAAAUUAAUGAUUUAAAACACUUUAAUCUAAAUAUUAUCAAUCACUUAAUAAUAUCUUAAUCUAAUAUUAUUAAUCUUUUAAUAAUAUUUUAAUCAUUAAUUAAACUUAUAAGCAAUUUAUUUUAAUUGUUUAAUCUUUUCUAAUUCAUUUAUUUAAUGAACCUAAAAUGCCAUAAACAUAACAUCUCAUCAACAAUGACCAAACCACCCUUCAAAAAUCUGCAUAUAGCAUAUCUAGGGUUCUCAAGCCAUAAAAUCCUAUUUUCCUAAUUUUCAAUAUCACAUAAUUAAUUUAAUUCAUUUAUUCAUAACUAAAUCAUUACCAGGAAAAAUACCAAAUUAGUUCCAAAACAUUUUAUUUUCUGGGAUUUGACAGAAUAUGUCUCCUUUAUGAACAUAUAUUUUUCCUGAAUUUUUUAAAAUUCAUUUACUAUAUUUAAAUAGUCUAAAAUAGCUAAAACUUGCUACAUUUAUCAUAAAUCGACACUUUGUCCGACAAUUCCAAAACUUUCAAUGCUCUUUUUAUAUAUAUGUUCUUCCAGUAAAAAUUACAUAAUUUUUGGAGUUACACACUAAAAGUUAUUCAAGUUUACUUUUAAAGUAGUCAUUUCCCCUAAAAUCCUUAUCUCUCAUUCUAUACAUCCAAAAAGUCCCAUUUUUGGACUAAAUCUAUAUAACUCAUCAUUAUAUUACCCCAAAAUUUUCCAGAAUUUUUAAAAUAAAUAAAAGUACCGAAAAUGCCCCUUGACCAAACUGUCCAGAGGACUUUUUCCACAUUUAGUCUCCUUCUUUUGCCGGUAGGAAUAUUUCAACCAAAACAGCCGCCACGGCUUAAAAAAUUAACAUUUUUUAGUGCUACCACUUGGGUUUUCUAUUUAACUUACAUAUCUAGCACCCCACUUUGACGGAUCGCAAAAAGAAGUUAUAGAUCUAAAACGGUAGUUCAUCAUAGCGAACAAAAGUUAGAGUUUUCUAUCCUUUAGAAACUAGUUUACAUUUCUCUCUUUUUGAUCCAACUUUUGACACAAAAAAUGGUUAGAUAUACUCAUAACAUACUCUAAAUCACGUAGAUCUAGAGUUUUGAAGUUCAAGAACAUAAAUCCAAGUUUUGAUUUAAACAACUAACAAUAACUUUGAUAAAAGGUGUUUAUACUUUUUAUUUGUGGCUAUUUUUCCUUGAUCUAUCAAAGUGGAUGAUGAUUUUGGGUAGAAGGAAGAUCAAAGCCUCUUCGUCUUGCUCCCUUACUCCAGCCGAAAUACUCUAUCUUUCUCUCUCUUUCUUUCUUUCUUAGUUUAUCUUGAGAGAAAUAGAUGAAAGAGAAAGUAAAUGGAUUUUUGUGUAAUUAAGACAUAUACUUUGUAUAUCUAACAUACAUCUCAUAUCAACUCUAUUAUCUCUCCCUUCAAUCAUGUUGUGGUUACUUGCAAGCUAAAGAUUAUUUGUAGUUGUAGUUAAAAUAAGUGGCUUGACUUAUGGGCUGACACUUUGCAUAGUUGGUGAGGACUUAGUAAACUAAAUAAUUACAUCACAUGGCUCCCCCUUCCUUCCUCUUGGGCCGCCCACCUCCUCUUCUUCUAGCCCAUUGGUUAUUUAUUUUUAAUGCUUUAUUUACUUAAUUACAUGUCCAAAAUCUCCAUCUUCAAUUGGGCUAAAAGAUUGGCUUUUAAUUUUAAAAGUUUGGGCAUUACAAUUAAAAUAUUUAGACUUCCUAACUAAAAUGUUUGGGCCAUAAGAAUUAAUAUGGUCCAUUAUCUUAAAUUCUAUCAUACCCUAAUCAUUUAAUUAGGGUUUUCAUUUACUCAUUUAUAAUUUAAAUCCUUACUCAUUUACACUUAGCUUCUUAACCUAAUUAGACAUGCUUCACUUAGGUUAUAAAAUUAAUUAAUUGAGAUGUAUAAAAUAAAUCUCUUAGGAUUAGUAUAUAUUAUAAAUACUAUUAUUCUCUCAUACCAUAACCCUUAAGUUAUUCAAUUCUCAUACCUAAUAUAUAAUGAGGAUACAUUAGUUUCUUUUAUUUGUUUAUAUAAUUAACAAAUAUAAAUAAUCACAUAAUAUUCAUAUUCAUUUACUCGCAUAUUCAUACAAAAUAAUUUAAUAGGUUGAGACGUGUUUCACAAAUCUCUUAGAUAGGGUCACUAGUAUAAAAUUAAAAUACUAGGACCACUAAAUAAAGAUAACCCUUUAGGUCAUUUAAUCCCAAAACCUAAUUUAUAACGUUAGGCUAUAAAGUUUUCUUUGAUUCUCUUUAUAUAAAGAAUAACUAUAUAUACAUAUUUACAAUAUAUGUAUUUACUUAAUCUCACACAUGUCCCACAUAAGUCAUAAUGUAUUUAUCCUUAUCAUUUCUCAUUUAAUUUCUUUACCUUUCUUAAGGAUUCAAAUCAAACCAUAUAGGUUCUUUAAAAUUUUUAAUUCAUCCUCUAAUUCUCAUCUAGGUUUUAUUCUUUUACCUUUAUUUUAAUCAUUUAAGAUCUUAUGAAUUUUCGGGUUGUCACAUUCUCCCCUUUAUAAGGAUUUCAUUCCCGAAAUCACUAUUGCACCAAAAAUAGGUUUUCAUCUUAACCUUAAUCUCAUCACCUCUAAAUACACUCAUACUUAAUGAGUUCGUGUUAUUUCAUUCUAUGAGGAUCUCUUCUAUCAUCACAUCCUACCAUGACUUCUCUCUAAGGAGUUAAAAAAAACUUUUCAUAUUAUACUAAGGGGUCAUAUAGACCAUGACCACAUAGUUUUAACCGUAUUCACACCGCAAAAUGAUAAAUUACUAGGUAUGUUUACAAUCACAAAGAAUGUAAACUGUAACGCCCCCAAAUUCGGACCUCCACUUGGUCACUCGAAUUUGGUUCAUCACGUUCUCAUGGUAAUACCAUAAUAACUAAAAUAACAUGUUCACAACGAAAAAUCUAAUUUAGAAUAAUAUAUAAUGAUUUAGUAUAAAUAUUUCCCCAAGUCUCACAACCUACAGUACUUAAUAGAUUACAUAAUAAUAUCGAAUAAAGACUUAUUACAUAAUCCUACUUAAGUUUAGCAUAGUCUGAAAACAGUCUUAAUACAACAUAAUACUCUUAAACAUAAAAGGGACAAGCUAGUCGGUAGCCUUGCCCUUGCCCUUGUCUUGCCCAAAGACACUUCCCUGUUCCGCCUUAACUGAAAGGUUUUAAAUAAGCAAGGAUGAACACAAAUUGCCCAGCAAGUAAUAUACAACAAGGGUAAAGAGUUUCAUAACACAAGUUUGAAAUAUCGAAGUGUCAUCUCUAAGAUAGUUUAGAGUUUCAGAAUAAUAUCAUGAAUAAUGAGUAUCAAUAAUUCUUGGAAUAAGAACGGUAAUUCAAUAUAAACCAACAGAUAUAUAUAUGAAUUCAACGACUAUCAACGUAUCCAACUAGAUAAAUAAUUUAUACUGAGUAGUCACUAAGGACUAUUGAACAUCUACUAGAAUUACCAAUAUUAAAUUGAUAACCCAAAAGAAUCAAAUACUAAUCUCUGGCGCAGCUGCGCCAGUUUGUACUGCUGGGACGGCGCAGCUACGUUGUACCCUGACUGUGCCAAGACUGGUUUAGCUUCAAGCCAGUGUCAACUUUCAUUGCCAAAUUCAUGACAUGUAUUACUGCCCACAUGAGUGAUAUUGCUAAUCUAAGAGUGUGUUCAUUACUUAUAUGAAAUCACAUGCUCAACCACGAUUAAUCUUCCUAAUUCCCUUGUAAACUCGCUUCGUGAAUUUCCUCGUUUCACAUUAUGCCACACAAGGCAUUUCAAAAUUCUUAUUGUCAAUUCACACUUCUCAAUACGUAUUAAUCUAAUGCGAAUCAAUUGAAUUAUUCCACUUUCUAAACAUCAUUACUUAUAUUCACAUAAAUAUUAUUUCCAUUAAUAUACUUUAAGUAAUCAACCUAUCGCGCGUAUCAAUCUUGUUUAGCGACUAUUUGCUCUACUAGAUUGGAUUAUUUUAUCCAAUCGACAUUUUCCACUUUUAUGGGGUUGUUCACCUCAGACUUAUCAUAAGAUUCCGCACCAAAAUAAUUUGUAUUGACAUAAAUUCUCAAAGAAUACUUUGAAUUUUAUAAACAUUUGUUUAGCUAAAUCAAAUAGCUUAGACGUAUACUAAUAAUUCGAAUAUCAAUCAAAACAUGUGUCUGGCCAAAUUUAAUUAUCUUUAAAAUUCUAAAGAUUAUUUUUUUACGUCAUGAUACCGCACUGUAUUUACAUCCUGUUUGAUGAUUCUGUCAUUUUGUGACUUUGUCAUACUAGAACAUACAGUAAUGGGCUGACGAUCCUUAGAUCCCAUCCAACACUAGGUAAUUAUAUAUUGAUAACUCCAUCAUUUUUAUCAUCACUGCACCAGGUUCAAUAAUGCAUUAAUGAUAUAUAAAAUAUAUUUUGAUAUAUUUCAAAUUAUUUUUGUCUAGCCGAAACAAUUAGCUUAGACACGUGAAUAAUAAAACUUUUUAAAACUCAUUGGUUCAGUAAUCUGACCCAAUAUUUUUUUUCAAAAAUGCUUUUAUAAGCACGAUGUCAAUAAAUUUCGAAGUCUAGCAUAGCUAGAAGAUUUGGAAUACCUAUGCUUCUUCCAUCAAUCUCCAAUUUUCUCCCAUAUUUCAUUGCUUAAUAAUUCUAACUCUUUCUAUCAUUCUUAAAGCUUACUACACCGAAAAUCCUCAAUUCUCCAUUCAUAACUUUUCUAGCUAUACCCCAGUAUAGUUCAUUAAACUUACAACACGUUAUAAGUUCAUGAACUUUUCACAAUAAUAUUAGUUUAGGAACUUAUCCUAGCAAUACGUAGUCCAAGAAUUAAUCAGGGACUUUCCAUACGCUUAGGGGUUCAAAAACAUAUCAUAUGAUUAUGAGUCACAAAUAUACCAUAAGUAUGACUUUUAAGAACUCGCACCUAACCUUAUAUCUCUACCUAUCCGUUAUACACAUAACAAAAGAAUCACCUUCUCAACAUGAAUAUAGCAAAUCGCGUGACACCAGGUUCCAAUGAUUAUCAAUGUAAAAAGCUAAGUGGUUGUCGAACCAAACACAAUCCAGUGCCCAUACAAGGAAUUGGUCAACUCUGCCACUAAUCAAUAUAGGAAGCUAAGCGGUUAUUAAACCAAGGAUAAAUUCCCCGCCCAUACAAGGAAUUGUUAAACUUAACCACUAUAUCAAUAUAGGAAGCUAAGUGGUUCUCAAACCAAGUACAAAUUCCCCACCCAUACAAGGAAUCAUAAAACUUAGCUUCUAACAUGAGUCCUCAAUUAAAAUCCCAAAUAAUCCUAAUCUUACUCUUUACUUAAUACGAAUUUUAUUUAAUCUAUAUCUUUAACAUUUAUUACUCUUUUCUGAGUUUACAUAGUACAAUUACAUAGUACAUUUUUUAUAGCAUCAUGCUAUAUCUUCUUAAUUGUCCAACAGAUCACCUGUCAUUCAUGAUUCAGUUUGAUCACGUUGUGAUCUUAUCUUAUAAUCAUGUUAUAUUAGGAUUCUUUCAUAUCUUAGGAUCGUUUUGUUUUACGAUCUUCUUAUCUCUUCUUUUUAAUCAUAUCUUAUUAUGAUUUUAUUUAAGCUUUUCAUCUUUAUUACUGGAGGCAGGUAACUCCAGAUUCUUAUCUUCUAUAACUCUUCGAGAUUCUUCUUUGAAUCUUAUUUACUUAAUAAUGAAUUUCCCAAAUUCAACUCUAAGAACUUAAACUCUAUUUGAGUUUAUUCCUUAUCCUUAUCCCUGUGGUUAUGCCCUAAGGUACCCCUACCUAAGGUUUAUAACCUAUCAACUUUGAUACCAAAUGUAAUGCCCCCAAAUCCGGAUACCUUGAACCUGGUGCGUCAUGAUACAACAUAUUUAUACUAAUUCUAUAAACUAAUGCGGAAUAUAUAAACAUACUUUGUUUAUUUCAAAGUUUUCUACAACAUUACCCCAAGGUCUACAACCUUAACUUAGUACAUACCUUCAAUAAAUUGAAAGGUUUACAAUGUCAUUUGCAUCAAAUAACAUAAUAGUUCAAAUGCAUGAUAAUCUACUCUUGGAAAUUGCCUUUGCCAUUGUCAUUCUUCGAGCCUUCGUCUUAAUCUAAAAUUGAUUAUCAUAAUAUAGCAAGGGUGAGCAACUACUUUGCUCAACAAGUUUAAAUACAAUAAAAAUAUAUCAAAUUGAAAGAAAGAAUAAGCUUUCGAAUGUUCAAAAAUAUAAUAAUUAUGAAAUAGCAUAAAUCAAAAUUUCAAUAAUUGAAUGACUGAACCAAUAAUGUUGAGUGGUCAACAAUGACCAUGAACAAUUUAACUAAACCUUAUGGUAAUGAAGAUGAUCAGCCUUUCAUACCAGAUGAACAUAUGCAAUAUGCACUAAGUGCGAAUCAAUAAUCAUAGAUGUGGAAUAAUCAAUAAUAAUUAUCCACUAACAUGCUUUGAAAUAAUAACUCGAGUUUGAGUUAAAGAACUUGCAUGUACCGUCGAUUACUACUACGCAGUCUAAUUUAAUCUCUUUAUUGUAAAGACCUAUCAUUUUUAAGAUUGAUCUUUCAAUCAACAUAUCAUAUUAUACCUCAUAAUACUACUACUCUAUAAGUAAAUUAUCUAACAUUUAACCACAUAAUCAAAUAUUUGGUACUACAUUAAAACAUCAGUUAAUUUUUCCAUGUUUAGUCUCAUUUUUUUGCCGGCAGGACUGUUCCGACCAAAACAGCCACUACGGCUUAAAAAGUCAACAUUUUUUUAGUGCUACCACUUGAGUUUUCUAGUUAAUUUAUAUAUCUAGCACUCCUCUUUUACGGAUCACAAAAAGAAGUUAUAGAUCUAAAAUGGUAAUUGAUCAUAGUGAACAAAAGUUAGGGUUUUCUACCCUUUAGAAACUAGUUUAUAUUUCUCUCAUUUUGAUCCAACUUUUGACACACAAAAUGGUUAGUUAUACCCAUAACAUACUCUAAAUCAUGUAGAUCUAGAUUUUUGAAGUUUAAGAACAUCAAUCCAAGUUUUGAUUUAAACAACUAAAAAUAACUUUGAUAAAAGGUGUUUAUAUCUUUGAUUUGUGACUAUUCUUCCUUGAUAUAUCAAAGUAGGUGAUGAUUUUGGGUAGAAGGAAGAUGAAAGCCUCUUUCCCUUGCUCCCUUACUCCAUCCGAAUCCUUCUCUUGUCUCUCUCUUUCUUUCUUUCUUAGUUUAGCUUGAGAGAAAUAGAUGAAAGAGAAAGUAAAUGGAUUUUUAUGUAAUUAAGAGAUAUACUUUUUAUAUCUAUCAUACAUCCCCCAUCAACUCUCUUAUCUCUCCCUCCAGUCAUGUUGUGGUUACUUGAAAGCUAAAGAUUAAUUGUAGCUUUGGUGAAAAUAAGUGGCUUGACUUAAGGGUUGACACCUUGCAUAGUUGGUGAGGAUUUGGUAAACUAAAUAAUUACAUCAUAUGGCACCUCCUUCUUUCAUUUGGGUUCACCCACCUCCUCUUCUUCUAGCCCAUUGCUUAUUUAUUUUUAAUGCUUUAUUUACUUAAUUGCAUGUCCAAAAUGUCCCUCUUCAAUUGGGCUAAAAGAUUGGGUUUUAAUUUUAAAAGUCCGGGCUUUGCAAUUAAAAUAUUUGGACUUCCUAACUAAAAUUUUUGAGCCAUAAGAAUUAAUAUGGUCCAUUAUCUUAAAUUCUAUCCUACCCUAAUCAUUUAAUUAGGGUUUCCAUUUACUAAAUUAUAAUUUAAAUUCUUACUCAUUUACACUUAAUUUCUUAACCAAAUUAGACUUGCUUUAAUUAGAUUAUAAAAUUAAUUAAUUGAGAUAUAUAAAAUAAAUAUCUUAGGAUUAGUAUAUAUUAUAAAUACUAUUAUUCUCUCAUACCAUAACCUUUAAGUUAUUCAAUUCUCAUACCUAAAAUUUAAUAAGGUUAAAUUAGUUUCUUUUAUUUGUUUAUAUAAUAAACAAAUAUAAACAAUCACAUAAUAUUUAUAUUCAUUUACUCACAUAUUCAUACAAAAUAAUUUAAUAGGUCGAGACGUGUUUCACAAAUCUCUUAGAUUAGGUCACUAGUAUAUAAUUAAAAUACUAAGACCGCUAAAUAAAAAUAACCAUUUCGGUUAUUUAAUCCCAAAAUCUAAUUUAUAACGUUAGGCUACAAAGUUUUCUUUAAUUCUCUUUAUAUAAAGAAUAACUAUAUAUACAUAUUUACAAUAUAUGUAUUUACUUAAUCUCACACAUGUCCCACAUAAGUCAUAAUGUAUUUAUCCUUAUCAUUUCUCAUUUAAUUUCUUUACCUUGCUUAAGGAUUCAAAUCAAACUAUAUAAGUUCUUUAAAAAUUUUAAUUCAUCCUCUAAGUCCCAUCUAGGUUUUAUUCUUUAACAUUUAUUUUACUCAUUCAAGAUCUUAUGAAUUUUUUGGGUUGUCACAAUUCUCAAAGAAGUACUUGAAUUUUCAUAAACAUUUAUCUAAGUGAAUCAAAUAGCUUAGACUUGUACCGAUAAUUCGAACAUUAAUCAAAACAUUUGACUAGCCACUUUAAUUGGCGUUGACUUUUCUUUAAUUGGUUCAAAAUUUUGAAAAUCCUUUUAUGACUUCAUGAUACCGCACUAUAUUUAUAGUCCGUUUGAGGAUUCCGUCAUUUUGUGACUUUGUCAUACUACAUCAUACUAUAGUGGUUUGAAGAUCCUUAGAUCACAUCUAACACUAGGUAAUUCUGCAUUGAUAACUCCAUCAUUUUUAUCAUCUCUGCACCAUGUUCAAUGAUGCAUUAAUGAUAUAUAAAAUACAUUUUGAUAUUUUAAAUUAUUUUUGUCUAGCUGAAACAAUUAGCAUAGACGUAUAAAUAAUAGAACUUUUAAAACUCAUUGGUUUAGUAAUCUGACCCAAUAUUUUUUUUUCAAAAAUGCUUUUAUUAGCACGAUGUCAAUAAAUUCAAAAUCUAGCAGGAAUACAUAUGCUUCCUUUAUUAACUCCAAUUUUUUUUUCUCCAAUAGUUCUUUACUUAAUAAUUCUAUCUAUUUCUAUCCUUAAAACUUACCACUAAAAAUCCUCAAUUCUUCAUCCACCACUUUUCUAUACCCUGCUGUAGUUCAUCAAACAUAGCACACGUUAUGAGUUCAAGAACUUACCACAAUAAUAUGAGUUUAGGAAUUUGUCCUAACAAUACGUAGUUCAAGAACCAAUCAGUAACUGUCCAUACGCUUAGGGGUUCAAAAAUAUACCAUACGAUUAUGAGUCACAAACUUACCAUAAGUAUGAGUUUUAAGAACUCGCACCUAACCUUAUAUUCUCUACCUAUCUGUUAUACACAUGAGAAAAGAAUUACAUUCUCAACAUGCAUGUAGCGAAUAGCGCGACACCCGGUUCCAAUGAUUAUCAAUGUGAUAAACUGAGUAGAAGUUAGACCAAGCACAAACCCCUACCUAUACAAAGGUUUAUACAACUCAGCUAUCACAUGAAUCCUCAAUUGAAAUCAGACACCAUUCUAACUUUCUCUUUACUCGAUACGAAUUUCAUUUAAUUCGUAUCUCACCAUCUAAAACUCUUUCCUGAGUUUACAUAGUUCAAUUUCAUAGUACAACUUUCGUACAACAAUUCUACUAUAACAUUUUCAAUCAAUCGAGUGAUCCUCUAUCCUCUUCUAACCUCACCAGAUCACGUUGUGACCUUUUCUUAUAAUUGUGUUAUAUUACAAUUUUUUUUAUCUUCUGAUCGUUUUGUUUUACUAUCUUCUUAUCUUUAAUCAUAUUAUAUUAUCAUUUUCUUUAUGUUUUUAGUCUUAUAUAUAGACUCUAUCUAUUCAUUAUUAAUUUUCAUCUUCAUUUUCAGAGUUGGGUAACUCUGGAUUCUUAUCUUUAUAACUUUUCAAGAUUCUUCUUUGAAUCUUAUUUAUCUUCUCCUUUACUUAAUAAUGAAUUUCCCAAAUUCAUCUCUUAAUAAUUUAAACUCUAUUUGAGUUUAUUCCGUAUCCUCAUCUCUGUGGUUAUAGCCUAAGGUACCCCUACCUAAGGUUUAUAACCUACAACUUUGAUACCAACCUGUAGCUCCCCCAAAUCCGAGCCCAUUUUAACUCGAACCUGGUGCGUCACGAAACAACAUCUUUAUACACAUUCUAUAAACUAAUGCGGAAUAUAUAAACAUACAUUGUUUAUUUCAAAUGAUUCUAAAACAUUUUCCAAGGUCUAUAACCUUAACUUGAUACAUUCCUUUAAUAUCAAAAAAAAAAUUACAUUAAUAACUUACACUAGAUAACUAAUUAGUUAACAUGCAUACCAAUCUAAUCUUGUACUUUACUUUUGUCUCUGUCCUUUCUCGAACAUUCGUCUCAAUCUAAAAUUUUUUAUCAUGAUAUAACAAGGGUGAGCAACUACUUUGCUCAACAAGUUUAAAUACAAGAAUGAUAUAUCAUGAUUGAAAAUGAAUAAUAACCUUUCAAAAUUUUCAACAAUAUAAUAAUUAUGAAAGAGCUUGAAUUAGAACUUCAAUAAUUGAAUGACUGAACCAAUAAUGUUAAGUGGUCAACAAUGACCAUUAACAAAUUUAACAGAACCUUAUGGUAAUCAAGGUGAUCAGCCUUUCAUACCUGAUGAACACAUGCAACAUGUACUAAAUGCGAGUCAAUAAUUAUAGAUGUGGAAUAAUCAACAAUAAUUAUCCACUAACAUACUUCGAAAUAAUAACUCGAGUUUGAGUUAGGGAACUUUCAUGUACCGUCGAUUAAUGUUACGCAAUCUAAUUUAAUCUCUUUAUUGUAAAGACCUAUCAUUGUUAAGAUUGAUCUUUCAAUCAACAUAUAAUAGUAUAUCUCAUAAUACAACUACUUUACAAGUAAAUUAUCUAACACUUAACCACAAAAUCAAAUAUUAGAUAAUACCUUAAAACUUCAGUGUUAUUAGUGUCCUUUGAUAAUUUUUCAAUUACUUUAUCAUUAUGAUUUAACACUUAACCUUUCAUUUUAUAAGUUCUUCUAUAUAAUCUAGCAAGCCGAAUACCUAUUCCAGCAACCUAGAUUAUUCAAACAACUUGUUUCCCCAACAAAGCAAAACUGACAUAACUAAUCCAACAAACUGGACUUAAACUGAAUUUCAAUUUAGUAAAAUGUUUUCCAAUCUAGCAAACUGGAUUCAACUGACCUCCAAUCCAACAAGCAUGGAUUCAAACUGACCUCCAAUCCAGCAAGCAUGGAUUCAAACUGUCCUACAAUCCAGCAACCUGAAUUCACUAAUCCUCCAAUCCAUUAUACUAUAUAUUAAAUAUAGCAUAUUGAAUGUCAAAUAAAUAACUUAACUCCUCUUUUAAACUCUCAUUUAAUAUUAUUAAUUAUUUAAUAAUAUUUAAAUCAUUUACUAAUAUUAUUAAUCAUUAAAAUAAUAUUUUAAACCAAUGAUUUAAUAACAUUUUAAUCUAAAUGUUAUCAAUCACUUAAUAAUAUCUUAAUAUAAUAUUAUUAAUCUUUUAAUAAUAUUUUAAUAAUUUAUUAAACUUAUAAACAAUUUAUUUUAAUUGAUUAAUAUUUAGUAAUUCAUUUAUUUAAUGAACCUAAAAUGCCAUAAACAUAAUAUGACAUCAACAUUAAACAAAUUACCCUUCAAAAAUCUACAUAUACCCUAGUUAGGGUUUUCAAGCCAUAAAGUCAUAUUUUUCUAAUUUUCAACAUCACAUAACAUAUUUUAUUUAUUUAUUCAUAACUAAAUCAUUUCCAUGAAAAAUACCAAAGCAGUUCUAAAACUUUUUCUUUUCUAGGAUUUGACAAAAUAUGUCUCCCUUAUGAACAUAUAUUUUUUCUGAAAUUUUUGAAAUUCAUUUACUAUUUUUAAAUAGUCCAAAACAACCAAAUCUUGCUACAUUUAUCAUAAAUCGAAACUUUGUUCAAAAAUUCUAAAAUUUAUAGGGUAUGUUCUUGACAUAUAUAUAUAUAUAUAUAUAUAUAUAUAUAUAUAUAUAUAUAUAUAUAUAUAUAUAUAUAUAUAUAUAUAUAUAUACCUCCCGUAAAUAUUUCAUAAUUUUUGGAGUUUUCCACAAAGAGUUAUUCAAGUUUACUUUUAAAAUAGUCAUUUCCCAUAAAAUUCAUAACUCUCAUUCUAUACAUCCAAAAACUCUCAUCUUUGGACAUGAUGCAGUUAACUUUUCAUAUUAACUCCCCAAAUUUCUUAGACUUUUUAAAGUACAAAAAAGUAACGAAAAUGCCCCUGGACCAAACUGGCUAGGGGACUUUUCCCAUGUUUAGUUUCCUUCUUUUGCCAGCAGGAUUGUUCCGACCAAAAUAGCUACUACGACUUGGAAAAUCAACACUUUUGAGUGCUACCUCUUAGAUUUGCUAGUUAACUUACAUAUCUAGUACUCUUAUUUGACGGAUCGCAAAAAAGAAGUGUAGAUCUAAAACGGUAGACAUUUAAAUUACAUAAAAGUUAGGGUUUUCUAACUUUUGUAAACCUAGUUUCCUUUUCUUUCUUUAGAUCUAACUUUUGACACUCAAAAGGGUUAGAUCUAAAAAUAAUACACUUAUUAACACGUAGAUAUAAGAUUUUGAAGUUUAAAAACAUUAGAUCCUAAUUCCAUCAAAAUCAACAAAACAAAAAUAAUAAACUAGUUUACAUAUAGGUUUUUAUACCUUUGUAUGUAUGAUCUUCUUCUUCCUUCCAAGGUUGGUUAUGAAGUGAAGUUUGAAAGCACAAAAAUCACUCCUCUCUUCUCGUAAGGCUACCGAAAUUUAUCUCUCUCUUUCAUUGAUUUAUUUUGAUAGUUUAAGAAUGUGAGCUGAAAGAUGAAAGAUUAGAUUUUUGUUGGAAAAGAAAUGUACAGAUGUAUGAUGUAUAUCAAAAUGCAUCCCCCACACUCUUGCUCUUUUUCUCUCUUUAAUCAUUAAAUUGUUA
rnacentral:lncRNA from 1 species